AACUUUUCCUUCUUCUUUGGAGCGGGGGAUACUAAAAAAAAGUCCCUCUGACUGCCGGAAGUAAAACAGAGCCUACACUUUCGGCAACGACCUGGACUGUUAUACUGACGUGAACGUCGAGAACAAACUGCAUAUCUCCUAUUGUCGAUGCCAUGUCAAUAGACACGGCCUUACUGGAACACUCGGGAUCGACUACACGAGUCAGCCUCUCUGUCCAGCUUUCCCAGCAACAAGCACUACAUUACACCAGCACCUCAACACGGCUGUGAACCGACUCUGCAUAACAGCCUACUCCGUCAUGUCUGCUGUGGCAAUUAAACUGGAGGAGGACUUCGAAAGAAGACCACUCGUCCCCCCGGGAAACCCCCACCCCCACAGUCCCCGGAUGUCCUCCUCUCACACCUGCGCACAGUGUGGUCUCGCGGUGGGUUCCCAUGGAGACCAGUCAGCCAAUCAUGACAGCCAUGGGUGUCGCCUUGAAUGGAUCAUUCCUGUGGUGUUUGUUGUGCUCAUUGUUGCAGCCUUUCUGUACUUCCUCUUUAGCCAUGACAUGAAAGACGUGUGAUGUCAGCUAUACCAAGACGCGACGGAUUCCCUACGUCGUCAGUUAUCGAAGUGCUUCUGUGGUACUGUCAAACCUGACCGGCCAACCACCUGGCGCGGCCAACCACAUUCAGGUAGAAGCCAUGUCUCAAGUUUAUAUUUUUAUUCAAUUUUACAUGGUUACAUGGCACUCUCAAGUGUUUUAAGCGAGCCACAGCCACAUUGCUGUGGUCGCCAGGGGGCAUUCAUACCCUUCUCAACAACCAAAAUUUGAUUGACAACAGCACCCAGCCCAGCAACGGCAAUUUCAAAUCGAGGAUUACUGCAGAUACCGGGACCAUGGGCACUGUCGGACACCAAGGUUAGCAGCAAUACUGUGAUGAUGAUGAUAGGUUACUUAAUCUAAGUAACGAGAGUCUGGUCGGGAAUAGGAACAUAAACUGAAGCAGGUAGUCUGAUCUAGGAAAAGCACUGCAACAGGAAACAUAAUGUAGACACUGUGUUACAACAUAUGUUUUAAUUCACUGCAUAUUGCACGUACAAAUAUAAAGUGCAGUCAGUACAUCCUCUUUCUGUGUCCAAAUGAUUAACACGUUGCAAUUUUGAGUUUCUUAGACUAUAGUGAUGCGUUUGAUGUACAAAUAAAGUAUGUUUUAACAUGGAAGCACUGUGAUAUCUA